rnacentral:rRNA from 1 species
UACGGGGGGGGCAAGCGUUGUCCGGAAUUAUUGGGCGUAAAGAGCUCGUAGGCGGUCUGUCGCGUCGGCUGUGAAAACCCGGGGCUCAACCCCGGGCCUGCAGUCGAUACGGGCAGACUAGAGUGCGGUAGGGGAGACUGGAAUUCCUGGUGUAGCGGUGAAAUGCGCAGAUAUCAGGAGGAACACCGGUGGCGAAGGCGGGUCUCUGGGCCGUAACUGACGCUGAGGAGCGAAAGCGUGGGGAGCGAACAGG